CCUACGGGGGGCAGCAGUAGGGAAUAUUGGUCAAUGGAGGCAACUCUGAACCAGCCAUGCCGCGUGUAGGAAGAAGGCGUUCUGCGUUGUAAACUACUUUUGAUUGGGAACAAAUGACUCUUGCGAGAGUAGCUGAGUGUACCAAUAGAAUAAGCCACGGCUAACUACGUGCCAGCAGCCGCGGUAAUACGUAGGUGGCAAGCGUUGUCCGGAUUUAUUGGGUUUAAAGGGUGCGUAGGCGGCUUAAUAAGUCAGUGGUGAAAGCCGAUCGCUUAACGAUCGAACUGCCAUUGAUACUGCUAGGCUUGAGUAUAGUUGAGGUAGGCGGAAUUGACAGUGUAGCGGUGAAAUGCAUAGAUAUUGUCAAGAACACCAAUUGCGAAGGCAGCUUACUAAAGUAUAACUGACGCUGAGGCACGAAAGUGCGGGGAUCAAACAGGAUUAGAUACCCUUGUAGUC
rnacentral:rRNA from 1 species